rnacentral:rRNA from 1 species
AGCGAACGCUGGCGGCAGGCCUAACACAUGCAAGUCGAACGGACCCUUCGGGGUUAGUGGCGGACGGGUGAGUAACACGUGGGAACGUGCCUUUAGGUUCGGAAUAGCUCCUGGAAACGGGUGGUAAUGCCGAAUGUGCCCUUCGGGGGAAAGAUUUAUCGCCUUUAGAGCGGCCCGCGUCUGAUUAGCUAGGUGGUGAGGUAAUGGCUCACCAAGGCGACGAUCAGUAGCUGGUCUGUCAGGAUGGCCAGCCACACUGGGACUGAGACACGGCCACGACUCCUACGGGAGGCAGCUGUGGGGAAUUUUGCGCAAUGGGCGGAAGCCUGACGCAGCCAUGCCGCGUGAAUGAUCAAGGUCUUAGGCUUGUAAAAUUCUUUCACCGGGGACGAUAAUGACGGUACCCGGAGAAGAAGCCCCGGCUAACUUCGUGCCAGCCGCCGCCGUAACAC